AAAAAUCUAUUCCAUAGGGUACUAUUGAUUGCACAAUCAUUUUAACACUAACAGUUAAGAUAUUUCUCAGACAUUUAAAUGCAUACACAAUUUUCGAACUAACGGUAUAAGUUUAUCUAAGUGGACACUCCAUAUCAAAAAUUCAUCAAACUGUACACCUAAAUAUUUUACAGAGGAUGUUUACAUAAUUGAAGGGCAGAUGCAAUUAUUU